rnacentral:tRNA from 1 species
GGGGAUGUGGCUCAGUGGCAGAGUGCUUGCCUGGCAUAUGAGAGGGCCUGAGUUCAAUCCUUAGCAUCACAA